CUCGUGGUAGCUCAACGUGUAGAGCGUCGGACUAUAGUUCCGAAGGUUGCUGGUUCAAACCCAGCUCGCGGGA
rnacentral:tRNA from 1 species